rnacentral:lncRNA from 1 species
AGCUGACAAUCGCAGGCCAAGCCUUGAAGGUCCUCAGAUCAAGGCUGAGAUCAAGCCUGGGGUGGGACAGGGCCUGCAAGAGAGAAGGAUGUGGGACCAACCAAGGGAACAAAGAGUUGUGGGCCCCAGAGCAGACCAGUUCUCACAACAGCAGUGGGACCACCUCCCGAGGUUUCAAGCCAUGGGGUUGGACAGCAAGAGGAGGAAUGUAACCUGCACCUAAUAGUCUAGAAAUCCUCUCUGACCACGUGGCAGCAUGGAGUUGCUCCAAACCUAUUCUGGCUGGCUAACAGGAGGUUGUGCUGCCCAAUUCAAGAAUCUUCCUCUGCUCAAUUAAACUCUGCUAAAUCCAAUUGUCUGAAGUUUUUCUUUCAAUGGCCACCAGGAUUCAGUUAUUUGAGCAAGUUCCCUAAUUCCUACAAGGGUUUUUUUUUUAAUCACUUUACUCCUCAUUGGUAAAAUUUAGAUAAUAAUAACUCCUAACUCACAGGAUUGGUGCAAGAUUUAAGGAGUUAAUGUGUGUUAGAGCAGUGCCUGAUACAUAGUAAGUGCUGCAUAAGGGACAGUCAUCAUGAGUACAAUUAAAUGUGCUAAGCAUAUACACCCAGGUUCAUAGCCAUACUAUUCACAAUAGCCAAAAGGUGGAAGCAACCCAAGUGUCCAUCAAUGGAUGAAUGGUAAAAAAAAAAUGUGGUCUAUUCAUACAACAGAAUAUUAUUCAGCCUUAAAAAAGGAAGGAAAUCCUAGCACAUGCUACCACGUGGAUGAAUCUUGAGUUAAAUAAACCUGUUACAAAAGGACAAAUACUGUGUGAUUCCACUUAUAUGAGGUACCUAGAGUAGGCAAAUUCAUAGAGACAGGAAGUAGAAGGAUGGUUGCCAGGGGCUGGGGAGAAACGGGCAUAGACAAUAGUGGUUUAAUGAAGACAGUUUCAGAUCUUCAAGAUGUCCUGAAGAUUGGAUGUACAAAUGUGAAUGCACUUAACAUUACUAAACUGUAUGCUUAAAAAUAAUUAAGAUCGAAAAUGUAUGUGCAUCUUACCACAAAUUUUUAAGAAGUGCUAAGUGUAAAUUACAAUGUGAAAUAAGAAUCAGGGUAGAGACAGGGAGUAGCAGCUGUACAGCAGCAAAGUUUAUUGUGGUGUGCAAGGCUGCACAUCUCCAAGAAUUUCCAUUUAUGUCUUGGUCUACGUAACUGGCACACCAGAGGUGCUCAGUUCACAGCCUUCCUGAAUAUUCAUGGUGUUUCAGACUAUUUCUCCCUCCCACAUCUCCCUGAGGUGUUAGUCAAGGUUCUUGUUGCAAGCAACAGAAACUAGCAGGAGAGAAGUUUAUUUAAAAGAUAUUAGAUGGCUUGAGAACUAGGCUCAAGGCCAAACUUCCAGGAAAGACCCAAAAUCAUGCUGCAGUAAAGGCCUGAUGAGAAAACCAUGCCAUUGACCUCACUAAGUCCUAAAAGCUUUAAGGACUGGCCUAAAGUCCACUUACUCAAAUGUGGCAGUAGCUGCUAUGGCCACCGGCACCAAUGUCACCUGUGUGUGAGGACAGACUGCCACUCCCAAGAACUGCAUGCCUCAGCUGCCACUGUCACAGGCAAAAAUGAAUUCCAUGUGGAACUUCCUCCUUCAAAUUUCUAACAUAUGACAGAUAGGUAUAGACAGAUAUUUAUAUUGUAUCAAAUAGAAAACAAGUAACAAAAUUACAUGCAGGUGAGUCUGACUGAUGGCGCAUAAGCCACUUGCCUGGGCCCUAGUUGAUGAAGAGGCUGGCAUGGUGAGUUUUCUCAGUUCUAUCUUGGGGUAGUGGGAUUCACAAACCUAGAAAUUUUUUUUAAAUUGCAAGGUGAACAGUACAGAGCAGCUGAAACCUUGACAAAUGUCCACUACAGUCCCCCACUUGGCCUUCCAACACCAACAUACAAUCUUCUACACUUCAACCUAAUGAUCAUGACGUUAUCCAGAAAAUGGUCAAAUAACUCACCAUUGCCUUGGAUUAAAAAAACUGGACAUUAUCAAAAUAUCGGUGAUCCCUAUGAAAAUCUAUAAAUUCAUAGAGACAAGAUCUACGGGAUCAAUGUUGGACAGGUUCAGCUUAAAAUGCUAAAGGAACCCCACAUAUAGAGUUUGCGAGUUUACCUGGUUUUCACAUAUGGGCUGGAGUCAUCUGUGCAUUAGGUUUAGUUUUGGAUGAGAUGACCA